CCUACGGGCGGCUGCAGUGGGGAAUAUUGCACAAUGGGGGAAACCCUGAUGCAGCGACGCCGCGUGAGUGAAGAAGUAUUUCGGUACGUAAAGCUCUAUCAGCAGGGAAGAAAAUGACGGUACCUGACUAAGAAGCCCCGGCUAACUCCGUGCCAGCAGCCGCGGUAAUACGUAGGGGGCAAGCGUUAUCCGGAUUUACUGGGUGUAAAGGGAGCGUAGACGGCAGCGCAAGUCUGGAGUGAAAUCCCAUGGCUUAACCAUGGAACUGCUUUGGAAACUGUGCAGCUAGAGUGCAGGAGAGGUAAGCGGAAUUCCUAGUGUAGCGGUGAAAUGCGUAGAUAUUAGGAGGAACACCAGUGGCGAAGGCGGCUUACUGGACUGUAACUGACGUUGAGGCUCGAAAGCGUGGGGAGCAAACAGGAUUAGAUACCCUGGUAGUC
rnacentral:rRNA from 1 species